UUGAAGGAAAAACAGUUUUUUUCACUGCCAGUCCAGAGUUGCCCUUGCUCAUUCUAAGAACAAGUUCACUCAGAAAAACUGUAAGAAAACAGUUGGCCAGACUGUCCUUUCUGCUGGAAUAGCCUCCACUGAAAACACUACUACUACUUAAAAAAACCAAACCAACAAAACCCAAUGCCUUAGAGUGCACUCAUUGAGAAGUCUGAUACAUUUUUCUGAAGAAAGCGAAGUGUUCAAAGUUGGCUCGCCAACAGUGCACUCAGUCAGGAGCAACAGAAUAGGACUCUGGCUCUUUUUUUUGGUUGUUUUUUGAAAGCAGGGCCAUGAUUAAGAGCAUUGGCUGGGAUCACUCAUACUGUGCCACUUGAACUGGAAUUCUUGGACCAGUGCAAGAUGAACUAAAGCAAAAGCAUUUGCCAAGACUGUUUUCAUUAAUCAAAACCAAAAGCUGGAGGGUUGUGGCCAACUCACUAUCAGGUGGCAUUGCUCCCAUCACCCACCAGGAAGAUCGCAGUACACCCAAGUUUUUGGGUUCUC
rnacentral:ncRNA from 1 species